GGGGGGGGCAAGCGUUGUUCGGAAUUACUGGGCGUAAAGGGCUCGUAGGCGGCCAACUAAGUCAGACGUGAAAUCCCUCGGCUUAACCGGGGAACUGCGUCUGAUACUGGAUGGCUUGAAUCCGGGAGAGGGAUGCGGAAUUCCAGGUGUAGCGGUGAAAUGCGUAGAUAUCUGGAGGAACACCGGUGGCGAAGGCGGCAUCCUGGACCGGCAUUGACGCUGAGGAGCGAAAGCCAGGGGAGCAAACGGGAUUAGAUACCCCGGUAGUCCUGGCCCUAAACGAUGAAUGCUUGGUGUGGCGGGUAUCGAUCCCUGCCGUGCCGAAGCUAACGCAUUAAGUACUCCGCCUGGGAAGUACGGUCGCAAGACUA
rnacentral:rRNA from 1 species